rnacentral:tRNA from 1 species
GAACAUGUGGUCUAGUGGUUAGGGCGAAGGACUACCAAUACAAAGGUCUGGUGUUCAAACCUCAGCGGGGAUG